UAUAAUCACACCAUGUCGCCUCACGUUUCGCGGUAACCUUGUUCUUAUAUAAAGGUACCCGAGAUCCUAAUUCCGGCAUAACACAUUUUUUUGUAAAUCAUUACUUUGUCUACACCUCGCUUUCUAAAAAACCAACAAAAAACCAAAAAUGGGCGCAGAAAAAAUAUCCAUGAACAUCGUUGUCGUCGGACAAGUCAAAUCUGCCAAGGUCAUCAAGACCGUCGCCAAAGCUGCACCAAAAAUGAGCCCACUGACAAAUUGCUAACUCGUGUAAUCCAUAAUAUGUAAAUU